rnacentral:misc_RNA from 1 species
UAGGAAUGGGGUCACAAAUGGGGCCCUGCGCAUUAAUUAGGUUUCCACAUAAAGUCGUAGGGCCUCCUCCAGCACUUUUGCGCCGGCAAAGAUGGAGGCAUUUGGCUUACUCAUCUUGGGGUUGACAUUCUCUAUUGAGUGUUUCCUCCGGCAAUUCAUUCUUGGCUUUGGAUACUUGGUAACUUGGUGUAUUUUCACAGGUGAGAGAGGAAGAUAUGAUGAGGAUCUUCAUGGAAUCCCAUUUCACUUCCACUCACCGCUUGUGUAAAAUAGCAAAACUUCUGUACGUACGUUUUGGGAAAUUGUAGCACAUGUAAUAACUACAAGUGUGAAGACUUAUUUCGUUUGUGGCAGAAAGGGUUAACCUCCUGCUGCCUGCUGAUGUACCCUAGCAUUUUAACAAUGUUAAAGAGAUGGUGGUGGUGGGUUUUUUUUU